GCAAACUUGGUCAUUUAGAGGAAGUAAAAGUCGUAACAAGGUUUCCGUAGGUGAACCUGCGGAAGGAUCAUUAGCGAUAAUUCGGCCGUACCAUAAGUCGAUACUAUCUUUUUGUGAAAGGACAGAACUAAUAAUUUUGGGGCUUAAAGAUGUUUUCGGGGUAACCUGGAACGGCCCCAACUAUUUAACAAACGUACUAUUUUACCUGAACUGACAUACCAAAAAAGUUAAUAACUAAAAAAUAACUUUCAACAACGGAUCUCUUGGUUCUCGCAUCGAUGAAGAACGCAGC
rnacentral:misc_RNA from 1 species